CACAAGAUACAUAGAAAGGGGGUUUUCAUACACAUAAUACUUAAUGCCAAAGGUUUUAGAGGAUAGAGUGGUACCUGUUGGUCUACUCCUACAGCAUCUAGUCCAUCAUACAUAAUAUCCACCCAGCCAUCUUUUGAUGCCAGAACAAAUAGAGACAUCAAGGCCUGACAAAGAGAACAUUUGAUGCAGAUAUUGAAAGCAAAGCUUUUAAACUUCUCCAAAAGGUGUCUAUUGGUAAACAAUCUUAGCAUCUUGGAGGUCUGACCUGUCCCAGGUUGUCGAAGUUGUACUUGUGUCUGACCCAUCUGUAGCUGGCUUGUAAACAGUCUGACCUGUUUGUGAUGUUCCUUACAUCCUCUCCUUGACAAACGAAGAACUUUCCUUUGAAGAGCUGGGGAGGAACAGAAACAUCUAUAUGUUAAUGAUAAGUUUGGUGUAAGUAAUUAGAUGAUAGAUAGACAGACAGACAGACAGAAAGAUUAGAUAGAUAGACAGACAGACAGAUAGACAGACAGGCAGACAGGCAGGCAGGCCACGUGGGAGACUGAACGGGUGGUUAAGGAGGCUCAGAAGUCACAACUGGAUCCCAAGACCGGACCUCCUAAUCGGCUGUCCUUGCCCAAUUCCGCGUGCUCUGACGUCCUCCAGUGGGUCCACAAUUCUAAGCUUACCUGCCACCCCGGAAUCACCCGCACCAUCAAGUUCAUUCAACAACACUUCUGGUGGCCCAGCCUGGUUAAAGAGACGCGGGAAUUCGUCUGCUGGUCUGCUGCGCCCCUUACCGCCCUUGGUCCCACAUCUCCCAAGGACUUCGUCACCGGCCUACCCCCAUCUGAAGGUAACACUGUCAUCCUCACCAUUAUUGACUGGUUUGCCAAGUGUGUUCACUAUUUACCUCUUCCCUAUGCUUUUGAAACCGCUAACCUCCUUGUCAAUCAUGUGUUUAAACUCCACGGAAUUCCCUUGGACAUCGUCUCGGACCGAGGUCCGCAGUUCUCCUCCGAAGUUUGGAAGAAGAUCUGUAAGGCGGUGGGCACAGCAGCCAGUCUUGCUUCUGGAUACCAUCCACAGUCCAACGGCCAGUCGGCGCGGGCAAAUCAGAAUCUUGAGUCGGCUCUUCGCUGCGUUACCACACGUAAUCCUCUCCCUUGGAUUGAAUAUUCCCACAACUACCUCACCAGCUCCGCCACAGCCAUGUCUCCUUUCAUGGCAUGUUACUCUAUCUUGGUCUGCUGAGAGGAAUAAGCAGCUGGCGGAUCUUCGACGCUCUCCCACGCUGGAGUACAAGUACCAUCGCCUUCAGUGAAAGGGACGACAGAGACUGGUAAUGACUUCUGCAGCUAUACAGAAGGUUACGUCACUUUUAUGACUCGGAUUAAAGCCCCAGGAGGGGAGUAGGCGUGAAGAAAGAGGAUGUAGAGGAGGGAUGGAAAGGCUGCAAUGGAUUCUGCACAUGACUGAGAUAACACGCAGCGUUUUGAAAGAGAAACUCCCUUUGCUCCUGCUUACUCAUCCCUGACUUGGCAGAAACGGACAGAUAAAAGAUGCUUCUGAAGCACAAACCAGAUUGGCCUCUUCGUCAGCAUUUUCCUCUUCGGUGUUCUCCUCCAAUGAGACAUGCGUGGGGCCCAAGAGUGAGGCUGUGCCCUUCCCAUUGCAGUCGCUGUGCUCUGCAGGCCGGAAGGUACCCGGUAAAGGGGGUCGAGAGCUGUGCAUACUAGCUGAACGAUACAGCAAAGCAUCAGGGGGCAAAUCCAUGGAGCUCCGAGUCUCCAUUGACUCCAUCCUCUGGUGACAGGGCUCUCUCUGUGACUGGGACAUGGAGUCUGUCCUGGCCAAGGAGGUGUCGUCCUCUUUGAG